rnacentral:rRNA from 1 species
AAUGCCGGAUGCUCCAUCACACCGCAUGGUGUGUUGGGAAAGCCUUUGCGGCAUGGGAUGGGGUCGCGUCCUAUCAGCUUGAUGGCGGGGUAACGGCCCACCAUGGCUUCGACGGGUAGCCGGCCUGAGAGGGCGACCGGCCACAUUGGGACUGAGAUACGGCCCAGACUCCUACGGGAGGCAGCAGUGGGGAAUAUUGCACAAUGGGCGCAAGCCUGAUGCAGCGACGCCGCGUGAGGGAUGGAGGCCUUCGGGUUGUAAACCUCUUUUGUUAGGGAGCAAGGCACUUUGUGUUGAGUGUACCUUUCGAAUAAGCACCGGCUAACUACGUGCCAGCAGCCGCGGUAAUACGUAGGGUGCAAGCGUUAUCCGGAAUUAUUGGGCGUAAAGGGCUCGUAGGCGGUUCGUCGCGUCCGGUGUGAAAGUCCAUCGCUUAACGGUGGAUCCGCGCCGGGUACGGGCGGGCUUGAGUGCGGUAGGGGAGACUGGAAUUCCCGGUGUAACGGUGGAAUGUGUAGAUAUCGGGAAAGAACA